rnacentral:rRNA from 1 species
GAUGAACGCUGGCGGCGUGCCUAAUACAUGCAAGUCGAGCGAACAGUCGAGGAGCUUGCUCCUCUGACGUUAGCGGCGGACGGGUGAGUAACACGUGGAUAACCUACCUAUAAGACUGGGAUAACUUCGUGAAACCGGAGCUAAUACCGGAUAAUAUAUUGAACCGCAUGGUUCAAUAGUGAAAGACGGUUUUGCUGUCACUUAUAGAUGGAUCCGCGCCGCAUUAGCUAGUUGGUAAGGUAACGGCUUACCAAGGCAACGAUGCGUAGCCGACCUGAGAGGGUGAUCGGCCACACUGGAACUGAGACACGGUCCAGACUCCUACGGGAGGCAGCAGUAGGGAAUCUUCCGCAAUGGGCGAAAGCCUGACGGAGCAACGCCGCGUGAGUGAUGAAGGUCUUCGGAUCGUAAAACUCUGUUAUUAGGGAAGAACAAAUGUGUAAGUAACUAUGCACGUCUUGACGGUACCUAAUCAGAAAGCCACGGCUAACUACGUG